UCGACGAACAUUCCGACGGAACAGCUUGCUGGGAAGACUGGGAUGACUGAGUGGCGGACGGGUGAGUAACGCGUGGGCAACCUGCCUCACACUGGGGGAUAACAGCCAGAAAUGGCUGCUAAUACCGCAUAACAAAUAACUUUGCAUGAAGUUAUUUUGAAAACUCCGGUGGUGUGAGAUGGGCCCGCGUCUGAUUAGCCAGUUGGCAGGGUAACGGCCUACCAAAGCGACGAUCAGUAGCCGGCUUGAGAGAGUGAACGGCCACAUUGGGACUGAGACACGGCCCAAACUCCUACGGGAGGCAGCAGUGGGGAAUAUUGCACAAUGGGGGGAACCCUGAUGCAGCGACGCCGCGUGAGUGAAGAAGUAUUUCGGUAUGUAAAGCUCUAUCAGCAGGGAAGAAAAUGACGGUACCUGACUAAGAAGCCCCGGCUAACUACGUGCCAGCAGCCGCGGUAAUACGUAGGGGGCAAGCGUUAUCCGGAUUUACUGGGUGUAAAGGGAGCGUAGGUGGUGUGGCAAGUCUGAUGUGAAAGCCCGGGGCUCAACCCCGGGACUGCAUUGGAAACUGUCACACUUGAGUGCUGGAGAGGCAAGUGGAAUUCCUAGUGUAGCGGUGAAAUGCGUAGAUAUUAGGAGGAACACCAGUGGCGAAGGCGGCUUGCUGGACAGUGACUGACACUGAGGCUCGAAAGCGUGGGGAGCAAACA
rnacentral:rRNA from 1 species